UGAAGGACUGCGAGGCCGAGGUGCGGGCAGCCGCAUCCCAUAAGGUCAAAGAAUUCUGUGAGAAUUUAUCCCCCGACUGCCGCGAGGCCGUCAUCAUGGGUCAGAUCCUGCCCUGUAUUAAGGAAUUGGUGUCAGAUGCCAACCAGCACGUGAAAUCGGCGCUGGCGUCCGUCAUUAUGGGGUUGUCCCCCAUCCUGGGGAAAGACAACACCGUGGAGCAUCUCCUGCCUCUGUUCCUGGCGCAGCUGAAGGAUGAGGUGGG